rnacentral:lncRNA from 1 species
GGACUGUCUUAAAAGUCCUUGAAUCUUUCUUGUGAUUGCCUUUGCUUAACAGCUAUGUUGUACAAAUGAAGCCUUCUGGGAAGUUGGCAGUCCUGAGGGCCCAGGGCAAUGCUGAAAUGCCCUUCCAAACAAGGACCCAAACAGCUGAAGGGCUCCAGUUACCCAAGAGAAUAUCACACAUCAACUUAGAACAUAUUAAACAAGAUGGCAAGAUUAAUGAGCUUAUUCAAAAAAGAAAAUAAGUCUUGGUGGUGUCAGGGUUCUCCAUGAGGAUGACCUAGGCAAACAUCUAUCACCUGCUCUCCUAAUCUCCUCAGGACUCCUGAAGGAAGGCCACAUCUCAUCGCUAUAACAUGGAGUAAUCUCUUAAAUGCCCAAGAGUAGAAGCUUCUUGUUCCCCGCUGUCAUGGAAAGCAUGCAACAUCUUAGAUAAAAAUAAUCGGAGCCAUCUUCAGUCCUUGGCUCCAGAAUGAGAGUCUCCGGAAUGAGAGCCUCAGGAAUGUCUCGGCAUAGCUGAAGGCAACCAGAUCACCAAGGCACCUCUGUGCUUCAGCUCUUUUUAGCAGUGGGAUUAUUGGGAGUUGUGUAAAUAGACCUCUGUGCUCUGGGUGGUUGCUCAUCCCCCAUUCUGAGGCACACUUGCUUUAUUAAAACUCUCAGCUGUUGCGAUGACCCAGGCGUGGAGAAAUGAAAAGCUCCCCUCACCAACUGGUGGCAGGCUGCAAACUACAGCCCAUUUUCCCUCAUAAGGACAUGUUACUCCUAUUAGAAACUGUGUCCCUCGUGUCCUUAAGAGGGGGGACACCUGCCAAUUAUAAGUGAAGAUCUCAUCUGUUCCAAAUAAGGAAGGAGGCUACCAUCCUAGUUGGCAGUCCUUUUAUACUUAACAGAUCUUUUUUGAAUCCUAUUCUUAUGUAUUUCUUGUAUAAUUGAAGUAUUAUAAAAGGUAAUAAAAAUGGAAAUCCGCUGCUGGGAUUUGAGACU